rnacentral:rRNA from 1 species
AUGGCAGGGGUUGGCGAGAAAAUCAUGGUGAGUGCUUUCACCGGGGUGAUUGGUCCACUCCUCGGCAAGCUCAGCAAGCUCAUGGAGGAGGAGUUUUCCAAGGUCAAAGGCGUCAAGAAGAAGGUGGAAUCUCUCAGGAGAGAGCUGAUCACCAUCAAUAUCGCCCUGGAGAAGUACGCCAUGAUGGAGAAUCCGGACGUGCAAGUCAGCGCCUGGAUGAACGACGUGCGGGAAGCGGCGUAUAACAUCGAGGACUGCAUCGACCUUUUCAUGCAUCAUGUAGAUCAUGAACCACCCGGGAGUGUCACCGGCAUCAAGGGGCUCUUCCGCAAGAGCAUGCGGAAGCUGAAGAAGCUUAAAUAUCGCCAUAGGUUUGCCGAUCAGAUCCAGCAACUCAAGGCCCUUGUGAACGGAACAUAUGAGCGGCAUCUGAAGUACAAGAUCGAUGACUGCAAUCCUGGUGUCAUGCACACGGAGAUUGAUCCCCGCUUGCCAGCACUCUAUGUGGAGGCGGAGAAGCUUGUGGCUGUUGAGGGUCCAAGCGAAGAAUUAAUCAGUCGGUUCAUCGAUGAAGAGAGCGAUCCGGUGAAGCAGUGCAGGGUUGUCUCUAUUGUUGGCUCUGGAGGUUCAGGCAAAACUACUCUUGCUAAUCAGGUGUACCAGAAAAUUAAGGGUAAAUUUUCCUGUUCUGCUUUUGUCUCUGUAUCACGAAAGCCUACCAUGGUUAACAUCCUGAGGGAUUUGCUCCUGGAAAUCGAGAACACUGACAGAAAAUCUGACAAAUACCUGUCAACAAGAUCAUGCAGUGAGCGGCAUCUUAUCGAUAGGCUAAGAGCACAUCUCGAAAAUCAAAGGUACCUUGUUGUCGUUGAUGACAUAUGGAGUAAAUCGGCAUGGGAACAAAUACAAUGUGCUCUUCCGAAGAAUUUCCAUGGCAGUAGAAUAAUUACGACAACACGCAUCAACAAAGUAGCUGAAUUUUGUUGCACUUCAAAUGAAGGCUUUGUUUAUCCAAUGAAACCUCUUAGCAACAAUGACUCCAAAAUAUUAUUUCUGAAAAGGACUUUCGUGGUUGCAGCUGAAUGCCCUAGUCAGCUAGAGGGGAUUAUGGAUGAUAUACUGCAUAAAUGUGAUGGUUUACCAUUGGCCAUAGUAAAUAUAGCUAGCUUGUUGGCUAGCAAACCUGUAAGAAGGGAAGAAUGGGAGAGAGUGAGAGACUCUGUUUGUUCUGCACAUGGAAAAGAAAAAGAUAAAGAGCUAGAAGUGAUAGAUAAGAUAUUGUCUCUCAGCUAUUGUGAUCUAACCCAGCCUCUGAAGACAUGCUUAUUGUACCUUAGCAUGUUCCCGGAAGAUUACAUCAUUGGCAAAUAUAGCUUGGUAUGGAGAUGGAUUGCCGAGGGAUUUGUUGUUCCGAAGCAUGGAUAUACUUUGGAGGAAGUAGGAGAGAGUUAUUUUAACGAGCUCAUCAACAGGAAUAUGAUUCAACAGGAAUUUAAAUAUGAUGGUGAAGCGAUUUCAUGUCGAGUCCAUGAUAUAGUACUUGACUUCAUUGUCACUCGGUCAAAUGAAGAAAAUUUUGUUUCUGUAUUAGAUGCUCAGCACAUCCCAUCUCAACGUGACAAGAUUCGCAGGUUGUACAUCCAUAAAAAGAUGAGCAUGCAGCCGAGGUAUCACAGCAAAACAUGA